CAAGGUAUGACAGACCUGUGAGAUAACCAUCUUCUUUAGCAAAUUGGAUUUCCAUAAGUAAAUCUCCAAGUUCUCGUAAUUUGGUGUGGUCUUUAGCUGAAAUCCUAGGAAAGCUGUCCAACCUCUGAAAUAGUGACUGUUCAAUGAUUUCUGGUGCAGCAAAGCACUCACAUAGUCUCUCCAAUGCUUUGUGUAAAGCGAGAUUGGGGUUGUUGACAUGCACGGAUGCGGUUCACCUGUUCGCCAGAUUCUUUUCCCAGCCAUUUAGUCAUGAGGUCUAUCUCUUGGCUUGCUGUGAGGUGAACUUCAUGAGUUGCACUGGUGAACGAAGAAUACCAUGCCCGAUAAUUUUCGGGCUUAUCAAAUUGAUAAAAUCCCGUCGUGCUAAAUACUGUGCCAAAGGCUCUGCUUGAGGUGGCGUGUUAACUUGAGGAACGUAUCGAGGAGCAUAUGACUUUGCAUGCAUAUUCAUGAUGGGGCUUUUGAUUUCAGACUUCAUCGCACCUGCAGACAGAUCAGGCGGACUACAAGUUACAAAGCUAUUAUGUGAGUCAGCGUGGGAUGGGUGACAGAUCUUCCCCUUUCAACUGCAGCAUGCAUUGAUAGUUCAACAUCUUCCAGCACUUGUGCCUCCACUGCAGCUGCAUCAGCUUCUCUAUGUAGCGUUAACACUUCCAACUCAGUGUCUAUUCUUACAGUUUCCAGUUGAUUUUGAGCUUCUUUUGCAGCCUUUUCAAUUUUUAGCAUAGCCUCUUGGCUGGCAUAUGAUGCUCUUACUUUAAAAGCUUCAGCUCUGGCCUGGGCGUGAGCUGCACUCGUUGACGAUGUGGAUGACUUGCCACUUCAAGCGCUGUACACAGACGACUUGCUGUUUGCUGCCAUCUUACAAACUUUUAACAUCACAUGUUGCCUUUUCACUGUAGUGUCCUCGUGCAGUGUGUUGAAACUCCAACUAAACACCAAGUUAAACCACAGCCAAUGAAGACAGAGUCGUAGUAAGGUUGAUCAUU